AUGAGUUCUCCCUGAGACUAUAUGUCUCCUGAAGGAACGUUGGAGACGACGACGUUGAUAGGCCGGGUGUGUAAGCGCAGCGAUGCGUUUGGCUAACCGGUACUAAUGAACCGUGAGGCUUAACCUUACAACGCCAAAGAAGU
rnacentral:rRNA from 1 species